UACAGAGGGUGCAAGCGUUGUUCGGAAUUAUUGGGCGUAAAGGGAGUGUAGGCGGUUUGCUAAGUCUUCUGUGAAAUCUACGGGCUUAGCCUGUAAAGUGCAGAGGAAACUGGCAGACUUGAGUGUCGGAGAGGGCAGGGGAAUACCCAGUGUAGAGGUGAAAUUCGUAGAGAUUGGGUGGAACACCAGUGGCGAAGGCGCCUGCCUGGCUGACAACUGACGCUGAGACUCGAAAGCAUGGGGAGCAAACAGG
rnacentral:rRNA from 1 species